AACGGCUCGUGAGUGUGGGGCUCGGUUCCCUCUCCUCCAGUUCUCCACCACGUGCGGUCCAGUCACUUGCCGCCGCCCCGACUCCACCGGAGCCCCAACUGCUGCCGCCGGAUACAUCUGGUCGGAGUACCAGUAGGUCCGCCGGAAACACCGAGUCCCGGUGCCUCUGGCCAUGGAGCAAGGGAGUCUGGUAAAGGAGCUAUUUUACCAAGGCAACGGGCCUCCGAGGCUCGGAGAGGCCAGGAUCCUCCUUCGAUCUAAGCAAACACAUUCCACCUUCCAGAUCAAGGUGAUUGUGUUGAUUCUGCUGCCUUUUCCAAGCCAUGGAGUCAUGCCCGAGGAAAGAGUCAGCAGAACAGGAACGUGUACCUGUACUUCUACUAAAAAUUAACGACACUGCUCCUCAAAGAAAGACGGUUAUUAUACUACUGCACAACUCUUACAAAUGCAAGGAAUGGUUGUGUCCACUGCUUCAGGCACUGAACUCAUCUUGGAGGAGUGGGAAAACUAUACCUUUCAUUUUUACACGGUACCAUACAUUACUUCCACUUGUUAAAAUUGUUGGAAAUAUGCCCUAGAGGCAAUAAUAAAAGCAUUAUUAUUA